CGGGGCGUGGCGCAGUCUGGUAGCGCAUCUGCUUUGGGAGCAGAGGGUCGCUGGUUCGAAUCCAGUCGCCCCGA
rnacentral:tRNA from 4 species